AAUAUUGCACAAUGGGCGCAAGCCUGAUGCAGCGACGCCGCGUGAGGGAUGACGGCCUUCGGGUUGUAAACCUCUUUCAGUAGGGAACAAGGCUAGUCGUUGACUGGUUGAGGGUACUUGCAGAAGAAGCGCCGGCUAACUACGUGCCAGCAGCCGCGGUAAUACGUAGGGCGCAAGCGUUAUCCGGAAUUAUUGGGCGUAAAGAGCUCGUAGGCGGUUUGUCGCGUCUGCCGUGAAAGUCCGGGGCUCAACCCCGGAUCUGCGGUGGGUACGGGCAGACUAGAGUGAUGUAGGGGAGACUGGAAUUCCUGGUGUAGCGGUGAAAUGCGCAGAUAUCAGGAGGAACACCGAUGGCGAAGGCAGGUCUCUGGGCAUUAACUGACGCUGAGGAGCGAAAGCAUGGGGAGCGAACAGGAUUAGAUACCCUGGUAGUCCAUGCCGUAAACGUUGGGCACUAGGUGUGGGGGACAUUCCACGUUUUCCGCGCCGUAGCUAACGCAUUAAGUGCCCCGCCUG
rnacentral:rRNA from 1 species